GUGGGGAAUAUUGGACAAUGGGGGAAACCCUGAUCCAGCAAUGCCGCGUGAGUGAAGAAGGCCCUAGGGUUGUAAAGCUCUUUCAGAUGUGAAGAUGAUGACUGUAACAUCAGAAGAAGCCCCGGCUAACUCCGUGCCAGCAGCCGCGGUAAUACGGAGGGGGCUAGCGUUGUUCGGAUUUACUGGGCGUAAAGCGCACGUAGGCGGCGAAGCCAGUUAGAAGUGAAAGCCCCGGGCUCAACCUGGGAACUGCUUUUAAUACUGCUUUGCUUGAGUUCGGAAGAGGGUAGUGGAAUUUCCAGUGUAGAGGUGAAAUUCGUAGAUAUUGGAAAGAACACCAGUGGCGAAGGCGACUACCUGGUCCGAUACUGACGCUGAGGUGCGAAAGCGUGGGGAGCAAACAGGAUUAGAUACCCCGGUAGUCC
rnacentral:rRNA from 1 species